rnacentral:tRNA from 1 species
UGUAGCUCAGUGGUAGAGUGCUUGCCUAGCAUGUGUGAGGUCAUGGGUUUAAACCCCACUACAG